GACGAACGCUGGCGGCGUGCCUAAUACAUGCAAGUAGAACGCUGAAGAGAGGAGCUUGCUCUUCUUGGAUGAGUUGCGAACGGGUGAGUAACGCGUAGGUAACCUGCCUGGUAGCGGGGGAUAACUAUUGGAAACGAUAGCUAAUACCGCAUAAAAUGGAUUAUCGCAUGAUAAUGCAUUGAAAGGUGCAAAUGCAUCACUACCAGAUGGACCUGCGUUGUAUUAGCUAGUUGGUGGGGUAACGGCUCACCAAGGCGACGAUACAUAGCCGACCUGAGAGGGUGAUCGGCCACACUGGGACUGAGACACGGCCCAGACUCCUACGGGAGGCAGCAGUAGGGAAUCUUCGGCAAUGGACGGAAGUCUGACCGAGCAACGCCGCGUGAGUGAAGAAGGUUUUCGGAUCGUAAAGCUCUGUUGUAAGAGAAGAACGAGUGUGAGAGUGGAAAGUUCACACCUGUGACGUAUCUACCAGAAAG
rnacentral:rRNA from 1 species